GUCUAUGACCAUACCACCCUGAAUGCACCCAAUCUCAUCUGAUCUUGGAAGCUAAGCAGAGUCAUGCCUGAUUAGUACUUGGAUAGAAGAAAUAUCCAAUUAUGGAAG
ensembl:rRNA 5S_rRNA 5S ribosomal RNA